rnacentral:tRNA from 1 species
GGGCCUAUGGCGCAAUUGGUAGCGCGUAGUAAGUUUCACUGAAUCAAACAAUGGUUUCCAACAUCCACUAACCACUUCAACAGCGACUCCAGAUCGUAAGGUUGUCCGAUCGAGCCGGGCUGGGCUCA